rnacentral:rRNA from 1 species
GCCGAGCACUCCUGGGAGGCAGCAGUGGGGAAUAUUGCACAAUGGGCGCAAGCCUGAUGCAGCCAUGCCGCGUGUAUGAAGAAGGCCUUCGGGUUGUAAAGUACUUUCAGCAGUGAGGAAGGUGGGUAUGUUAAUAGCAUAUUCAUUUGACGUUAGCUGCAGAAGAAGCACCGGCUAACUCCGUGCCAGCAGCCGCGGUAAUACGGAGGGUGCGAGCGUUAAUCGGAAUUACUGGGCGUAAAGCGCAUGCAGGUGGUUUGUUAAGUCAGAUGUGAAAGCCCGGGGCUCAACCUCGGAAUUGCAUUUGAAACUGGCAAACUAGAGUACUGUAGAGGGGGUAGAAUUUCAGGUGUAGCGGUGAAAUGCGUAGAGAUCUGAAGGAAUACCGGUGGCGAAGGCGGCCCCCCUGGACAGAUACUGACACUCAGAUGCGAAAGCGUGGGGAGCAAACAGGAUUAGAUACCCUGGCAG